UACGUAGGGGGCAAGCGUUGUCCGGAAUUAUUGGGCGUAAAGAGCGUGUAGGCGGCCAGGUAGGUCUGCUGUGAAAACUCGAGGCUUAACCUCGAGAUGUCGGCGGAAACCAUCUGGCUAGAGUCCGGAAGAGGAGAAUGGAAUUCCCGGUGUAGCGGUGAAAUGCGCAGAUAUCGGGAAGAACACCCGUGGCGAAGGCGGUUCUCUGGGACGGUACUGACGCUGAUACGCGAAAGCGUGGGGAGCGAACAGG
rnacentral:rRNA from 1 species